AGCUUUGAGUGAUCCAAUCAGUUGCUACAGUGCCUUUCACCUUAGAUUUUCUACACCGCUCGUGGUGCACAAAGAAUUACUCAUAAGAUUUCUGGAACCGGAUCCGUCUCCAAGGCUCUUCUACAGUAAAUAUUUGGGCUGGAGCAUUUUUGCUCGUUAGUUUGAGGCUUUUGGGAUAGGGCGACGGGGGUUUGGUUUUUGGGAAGGGUUGCCGCCUCCUUGCGUCUCUCUUCUCCCGAGCUGAUGAUUCGUAACCAGGGCGCACAACCCUUCCCUUCCCACUACACUGUAGGGAUUUGGAAUUGGAUCGUACUUGUAUCCUUCGUGUGAAGGAAUGAUUCAUCUUCCUUCAUGCCAAUCCAUCAUUGGAUUAUCCAUGGCUCGGUUUGAUCUCUCUCUUCCCGCCCCCCCUCUUUUUUUUUUAAUGUUUGAGAGGCGAUGAUGAUGUUGUUUGUAUCCUUGUGAUUUGGUUCAACCUUUUUAAGCGAUCGUUGCAAGUGAUGGAGAAUUUUAGAUUCUUGAUGUGUAAACCCUAAUUUCUAAUCCUGAUAUCUUCGGCUUCUUAGGGUUGGAAACCUUAAGUCUUGAGUUCUUGGGCUUGUGGAACCCUAAACCCUUGAUCCUCUCUUCUUGUUUUCCAUCCUAAUGGAUCAAUGGCGGGGCAGCUUGGAUGGCUGCUAAGGCAACUGCUGCAGCCAUUCCUUUUGGAGGGGUUUAGAAGAGGGCGGGAGAGGAAGGGAAUCAUAUAUUGUGAUCGACUAAGACAAAUCUGAGCCUCGCCCCUAUUUUUCCUUUAUAUUUUCAUUUUCUCGUUGUUUCUUUCUUUUAUGGUGAUUUUAUUUUUUAGGGUUAGGGCUUGAUGCUAUGACAAGGUUUUACAUUUAGGGUUAGAGCUUGAUGUUAUGAUAAGGGUUUACACUUGCUUUGCUUUUUCUCUGUUCCUUUUGUAUUAAUAUGUUAUUCGUUAAGCCGGCAUUUACUGUUACAAUGAUAAUUUUUUGUAAUCAUAUUUGAUUUUUUUUUCUAAAUUUCUUUUGUUAUUUUUUGGACUUUUCUGCCCUAGUUUUCCCUUGAUCUAUAUAUUGGGCCAUUUAUCAUAGUAGAUCGAACUUUGGGUAUCUGGAAAGCUUUUAAAUUGCAAAUUUCGUCGGUUUUUGGUUCAUGUUAUCGGUUCUUAAAUGGGUGGAUUUGAUGGUAUCUUGGUUGGAUGGGAGCCGAUUGUUGUUCUACGUGGUAUUUUUGUUUUUUCAAUCUUUGGGUUGUCGAUAGUUUUUUUGUUAGUAUCUGUUUUUUUUUUUUAAUCAUUCUAUUAGUAGUCUGUAACUAUUUCGCUUUCGUGCCUUGCCAUGGUGUCCGUUAUUGAAUUGAACUGGACUCGUACCAAGUUUAAAACUCGUGGGAAAUUAACUCUCUUGGGAAAGAGGUACAUUGAAUUCGUAAGCAUUCCUGUACAGGCAAAAAGUGGGUGGUUCUCUUUACUUCAGCUUUAUCGGUCAUGAUAUUCCUAGCGAGUCGCUAGAGAGCGAGAGACAAUCAUGAAGAUAAUUAUCCCCAAGUACUCAAAACAGGUGCACUAUCAACAAAUACUUGGAUGAGGAGUAUGAGCCAAUCAACAAAGUUUCAGGUCUCCUCGUAAGCAAAAACUUGAAAAUUUCCGUUCAGGGUGGCUCUGCCUUUUAUCUAUGAUUUAUUUACUUAAAACUAUCCACGCAAUUAGCUGUAUUCUAUCUGAGGAUUGUUCAAGUUGGUAAUUGUGUCCUUGACCAUUUAUGCUGCGGAGGUGCUUGCCCAUUGUGCAAAUGGGUUAGGUUGAUUUAUGAUCUGAUCUAAUUUGCGCGGAUUUGAUUUGAACUAUUUUAAAGGAUCUACGGGAUUGGAUUAGGUUUUGAAAUUGGAUCUGUUUGAUUUUAUGAGUUGGGUUUGGAUUUGGAUUUAUUGAAUUUUGGUCUUAAAAUAAAUGAUUUGAUCGAAAUCUAAUAAGGGAUUGGGACACUCAUAUGAAUUAUAGCUUUUUUUAACUUGGUCUAAGUUUGUUUAGGAGAUUUCACCAUUAUGUUUUAUUUUUGAAUUAUAGGUAAUAUGGAUGAAACAAUAAUAUUAUUAGUAGCCCAUGUAUAUUAGCAUAUCAAGUAUUAUUUUAAAAACUACAAUUGUAGUUUCAAUAUAUCAUAUUUGAUGUGAAACCAUUAGAGUAAGAUAAUUUUAUAAAAUUAUAGGUAAAAAUUGAGUAAUUAAAAAAUAAAAGUGCCAAUAUAAUUGUUAACCGCACAUAAUGUUUAUGUGUUAUGUGCAUCUAUAGUUGCCACUUCAAGAUAGUCAUGUUUGCAUGGGAUAAUUAUAUUUAUAAGGUUGUGUGGGUGCGUCACUAGAUAAUUUUGGAAGAUAAUAUGGGUGGUUUUAAAGAUAGAUUUUUAUUAUUAAAUUAUCAAUAUGGUUGGUUAUUUUGUUUGGUAUGUAGGUAAUGUCAUAAAAUUAUUUUUUAUAAUUGUUAUGAUAUUUUUUUUUCUUUUAAUGAGAAAUGGUGGAAGUGGUGUGGAUGUGGUGGUGGCAUUGAAAAGCAACAGGCUGGGGUGCGGUGAAUUGUUGGUAUAGGUGGGGGAUGGAGUGAAUGCAUGUAGAAUCGUGGGGUUGGGGGAUGAGGGCGAAGGAGUCACGAGCAAGAGGAAGGGGAGAGGGAGGGGGGGGGGAUGGAGGAGUUAUAAGUGGUGUCGAGGAAGAGGGUUGUGUAAUUUUUUUUAAGGUAUAAUUUUGUUCAAAAUUUUUGUUGCAAUAUUGUUAAAGUAGUAAUUUAUAUAGCUAUUUUUUUCUAAGGUUUUUUAGAUUGUUUCAUGGUAAGUAAUAUAAAUUCUCGAGGUAAUUAGAUUGCUAUUCAAAAAACAUAUCAAAUGCAAUAAUUAGGUCUAUUUUGAAUUGUAGGCAAUCGAGGUAGAUUGCUAGCUGUUGAAUGCAAUUUUAGGUAUUUGUAUUUAACCAUGCCCACUUAAUUUAGUAAGACAAGACUUCAAGCUUCAAGAAAACUUAUGCAAUCUAUUUCAAUUCGUUCUGUUUGGGCUAUCGUGAGUUACCAUUAUUUUCAAUUGAUUUUUGAGGUUUCAUUUGUAUUUUGUAAUAUAUAGGAUUCAUAAAAAAUAUAUAGGAUUCAUUGUUUGUGAUCCAAAGAUUGGUGCUAUAGGGGUAGUUUUACACUUUAUUUUUUUGGAAAGGAUGGAUUUCAACGAAGCUAGGUGCUAAUAGGCAAAGGGA